rnacentral:tRNA from 1 species
GCCCCCGUAGCUCAGCUGGAUUAGAGCGAGGGACUUCUAAUCCCUAGGCCGCAGGUUCGAAUCCUGCCGGGGGCG